rnacentral:rRNA from 1 species
AAAUUGAAGAGUUUGAUCAUGGCUCAGAUUGAACGCUGGCGGCAGGCCUAACACAUGCAAGUCGAACGGUAACAGGAAGCAGCUUGCUGCUUCGCUGACGAGUGGCGGACGGGUGAGUAAUGUCUGGGAAACUGCCUGAUGGAGGGGGAUAACUACUGGAAACGGUGGCUAAUACCGCAUAACGUCGCAAGACCAAAGAGGGGGACCUUCGGGCCUCUUGCCAUCAGAUGUGCCCAGAUGGGAUUAGCUUGUUGGUGAGGUAACGGCUCACCAAGGCGACGAUCCCUAGCUGGUCUGAGAGGAUGACCAGCCACACUGGAACUGAGACACGGUCCAGACUCCUACGGGAGGCAGCAGUGGGGAAUAUUGCACAAUGGGCGCAAGCCUGAUGCAGCCAUGCCGCGUGUAUGAAGAAGGCCUUCGGGUUGUAAAGUACUUUCAGCGGGGAGGAAGGUGUUGCGGUUAAUAACCGCAGCAAUUGACGUUACCCGCAGAAGAAGCACCGGCUAACUCCGUGCCAGCAGCCGCGGUAAUACGGAGGGUGCAAGCGUUAAUCGGAAUUACUGGGCGUAAAGCGCACGCAGGCGGUCUGUCAAGUCGGAUGUGAAAUCCCCGGGCUCAACCUGGGAACUGCAUUCGAAACUGGCAGGCUUGAGUCUUGUAGAGGGGGGUAGAAUUCCAGGUGUAGCGGUGAAAUGCGUAGA